rnacentral:rRNA from 1 species
GAGCAACGCCGCGUGAGCGAAGAAGGCCUUCGGGUCGUAAAGCUCUGUUGUCAGGGAAGAACAAGUAUCGGAGUAACUGCCGGUACCUUGACGGUACCUGACCAGAAAGCCACGGCUAACUACGUGCCAGCAGCCGCGGUAAUACGUAGGUGGCAAGCGUUGUCCGGAAUUAUUGGGCGUAAAGCGCGCGCAGGCGGUCCUUUAAGUCUGAUGUGAAAGCCCACGGCUCAACCGUGGAGGGUCAUUGGAAACUGGGGGACUUGAGUGCAGAAGAGGAGAGCGGAAUUCCACGUGUAGCGGUGAAAUGCGUAGAGAUGUGGAGGAACACCAGUGGCGAAGGCGGCUCUCUGGUCUGUAACUGACGCUGAGGCGCGAAAGCGUGGGGAGCAAACAGGAUUAGAUACCCUGGUAGUCCACGCCGUAAACGAUGAGUGCUAAGUGUUAGAGGGUUUCCGCCCUUUAGUGCUGCAGCAAACGCAUUAAGCACUCCGCCUGGGGAGUACGGCCGCAAGGCUGAAACUCAAAGAA